rnacentral:rRNA from 1 species
AUUGAACGCUGGCGGCAGGCCUAACACAUGCAAGUCGAGCGAGCGGAGGACGGGUGAGUAAUGUCUGGGAAACUGCCUGAUGGAGGGGGAUAACUAAUGGAAACGGUAGCUAAUACCGCAUACCAUAAGAUGGGCCAAGAUGGGAUUAGCUAGUAGGUGGGGUAACGGCCAACCUAGGCGACGAUCCCUAGCUGGUCUGAGAGGAUGACCAGCCACACUGGAACUUAGACACGGUCCAGACUCCUACGGGAGGCAGCAGUGGGGAAUAUUGCACAAUGGGCGAAAGCCUGAUGCAGCCAUGCCGCGUGUGUGAAGAAGGCCUUCGGGUUGUAAAGCACUUUCAUCGGGGAGGCGUUACCCGCAGAAGAAGCACCGGCUAACUCCGUGCCAGCAGCCGCGGUAAUUC